UGAGAAAGCUUGUGGUGGCACCUCGUUGGCUGUGUGCUGUAUCUCUCAUGGUUAGGUUCUUUGGGGUGCACUGAUUGCUAGUAUGAUGACUGAAUGAGGGUUAAGUGAUAGCUGGAGUAAAGCUAGAAGGUGCUGAUUGUGUGUCAGGCUUUGUCCCUGUUUUCCUGCUGUGCUUUAGAUCAGUUCUUGAUAGCAUUUCUAUUGAGGCAUCACUUGAUGUAGUUGAGUACAGAGAGAUGGGCAGCAUGCUGUUGGGUUUUGAAACUGAGCUCUCUGAGCAAGGAACAGGUCUGGAUCUCGUGGCUGCAGAAACUAUCCCUGUAAUACUUGCUGGUUUGGCGAAAGAGAAGAGGGGGUGCUGUGACUCACAGCUGAAUGCAUGCUGCUGCUUUGGAGCAUCAAUGGCUCAGCUCCAAAGCACAAUAAAACUGAAGGCCAGAAAAGGACAGGCAGAUCAUAUACUUGCUUAAGCAUAUCUCACAUCACUUGAAGACAAAGGCAGAAGUAUUGCUUACCCUUUUGACCUCAGAUGAACAUUUUUAUGUUGAAGAGAUAAAGGAUUGGUUUUGAACCUGUACGUGUGAUGCUGACUCCACAAACAUUUUCCUAGCUCAAGCAGUGAAGAAAUAGCUCCAGUGCUUUCUCCAGGAAAAGAAUUCUUCUCUAAUAUCAAGUAUUUGUGAAAGAUGAGUGAAUACUCCUGACAGAUGUCACCAGGGAAAACGAGCCUGUAGAUACUAAUGAGCUGGAUGGCAUUGUUCUGAGAGCAAGCUCAGCUCAGUCCCUGGACAGACAGGCAGCAAGGCCUGGGAAAGACAUACAAACUGAAGGUUGUGUGUAAUGGUGUUCCUCAAAGUUCCACUUGUUUAUGGAGACUUUGUCAUCUUGUUGUCUGAAAAUCCCAGGCACUUUGUUUUCCAACUCAGUACUGCUGCUCUGAAAUGUGUAAGCAGUGAUUUCUUCUCUCUCUUUUAUUCCAGAUCAGUUUUAAGUGUUUCUGUUGUCUGUGUGAAAGGAGACUUAUAAUAUCAUUUAGAAGUGUCAAUUGUUCUGUCAUCUUGCUUUUACCAGAGGAGUCUAUUUGAGCUGUUAUUUGUCCUUUAGAAAAGAUGUUCCAUCUUCUCAGGAUGUAUUUCAUAUUAUGAGGGAAAUUUGA